ACAGUGGACGCGAGCAUCUGUGGCCAAGUUUUUAAGGGCGCACGGUGGAUGCCUUGGCACCAGGAACCGAUGAAGGACGUGGGAGGCCGCGAUAGGCCCCGGGGAGCUGUCAACCGAGCUGUGAUCCGGGGGUGUCCGAAUGGGGGAACCCGGCAGUCGUCAUGGGCUGUCACCUGCCGCUGAAUGUAUAGGCGGUGUGGAGGGAACGCGGGGAAGUGAAACAUCUCAGUACCCGUAGGAAGAGAAAACAACCGUGAUUCCGGGAGUAGUGGUGAGCGAAACCGGAGGAGGCUAAACCGUAUGUGUGUGAGACCCGGCAGGGGUUGCGCAUGCGGGGUUGUGGGAUCUCACUUCAAUGGUCUGCCGGCUGUUGGACGAGUGAAAAAUUGUUGGUGUAGGCGAAGGGCAUGCGAAAGGCCCGGCGUAGAGGGUAAGACCCCCGUAGCUGAAAUGCCAGCAACUUGUUUGUGAGACUCCCAAGUAGCAUGGGGCCCGAGAAAUCCUGUGUGAAUCUGGCGGGACCACCCGUCAAGCCUAAAUAUUCCCUGGUGACCGAUAGCGGAUAGUACCGUGAGGGAAUGGUGAAAAGUACCGCGGGAGCGGAGUGAAAGAGUACCUGAAACCGUGUGCCUACAAGCCGUGGGAGCGUCGCGUUGCGUGUUUGCACGUAACGUCGUGACUGCGUGCCUUUUGAAGAAUGAGCCUGCGAGUUUGCGGCAUGUUGCGAGGUUAACCCGUGUGGGGGAGCCGUAGCGAAAGCGAGUCCGAAGAGGGCGUUUGAGUAGCGUGUUCAAGACCCGAAGCGGAGUGAUCUAGCCAUGGGCAGGGUGAAGCGCGGGUAAGACCGUGUGGAGGCCCGAACCCACCAGGGUUGAAAACCUGGGGGAUGACCUGUGGUUAGGGGUGAAAGGCCAAUCAAACUCCGUGAUAGCUGGUUCUCCCCGAAAUGCAUUUAGGUGCAGCGUCGUGUGUUUCUUGCCGGAGGUAGAGCACUGGAUAGGCGAUGGGCCCUACCGGGUUACUGACCUUAGCCAAACUCCGAAUGCCGGUAAGUGAGAGCGCGGCAGUGAGACUGUGGGGGAUAAGCUCCAUGGUCGAGAGGGAAACAGCCCAGAGCAUCGACUAAGGCCCCUAAGCGUGUGCUAAGUGGGAAAGGAUGUGGAGUCGCAGAGACAACCAGGAGGUUGGCUUAGAAGCAGCCAUCCUUGAAAGAGUGCGUAAUAGCUCACUGGUCAAGUGAUUCCGCGCCGAUAAUGUAGCGGGGCUCAAGUACACCGCCGAAGUCGUGUCACUC
rnacentral:rRNA from 1 species